CCUUUCUCCAAACAACGUUGCCACACGCGGAGAGCACGGAGAUUUCUGGGGCUUUGGAGGGAAUCGUGAGCGGGCGGGAGGAGGCCGGGGACCACACAGAGAAUAACUUGUCUGACUACCAGUAUUCUUGGAUGCAGAAGUGCUGAAGAUGAGCACACACACGUACGGAGAAUUUCUGGAGAAUUCAGCUGCUCAGAACAAGAACUGAGAUCCAGAGAGAUGAUGACUUUGCCCAUAGACCAAACAAAGAAAUACAUGUUUCAGUCCUGUGUCCUCCUGCUAUGUGUGUCCGGAAUUGGUGGGUUCUUGGUCUCACUGACUUCAAGAAUGAAGCUGCGGACCCUCGCGGACCGUGUGUGAAUGCCUGCUCUGUGAGCCCUCAGAAUCUACUGGCUGAAUGAGUGCGUGGAGGAAAUGUGCUCAGAGCUGCUGUGUGUCAUCCUGUGUUUGAAGUGCUCCUGCAGCUAUCAUUCAUCCAGUUAAGAAUUUGAAGAAGUGUGUGCACAAAGGAUGUACCAGACUAUUAAUAUUGGUGACCAUGGGCUAGGGAACGGAGUCUCACUCUGUUGCCCAGGCUGGAGUGCAGUGGCACAAUCUCGGCUCACUGCAACCUCUACCUCCUGGAUUCAAGCGGUUUUCCUGCCUCAGCCUCCAGAGUAACAGGGAUUACAGGCAUACUCCACCUUGCCCUGCUGAUUUUGUAUUUUUAGUAGAGACAAGAGUUUCACCAUGUUGGCCAGGCUGGUCUUGAACUCCUGACCUCAAGUGAUCCACUGCCUCAGCCUCCCAAAGUGCUGGGAUUAUAGGCGUGAGCCACUGCGCCUGGCCAAAUGCUCUACUUUUUAAUCAAUGUUUUCCAAAAUAGGGAUUUUUGCUAUGUGCUUUAGAAAUUAGAGAACAAACGGUGAUAAUAUAUGCUAAACUUAAAAUUAGUAUGCCUCCUUUUAUAGACAACAAGAACUUUGUCACUUCCCAGUUUGUCUUGUCAUUCAGGAGGCUCAGAGCUACGAUCUGUGCCCACUCGUGCUGCCUCUUCUUAACUUUGAUUUCCUGAAGCAGCGAUUUCAUCUCCGUUUCCCCUCAUCACCUGUUCUUUUAACUGUUUAAAAACAGCAUUACAUGUUGUUGCAAGUGGCCUCAAAUUCUUUUUGGUAGAAGGGAAAUUGUAAUCCAUGAGAAGAAAAAAAUUUUCCUAACUAUUCUCAGGUGUGUUUAAGGGCUGCAUUCCAUGAUGCUAUCAGUGCCUUCUUUCAGCUCACAGGAUAUCGGCCAUGUUAAUGAGUCUGAUGUUGCUAGUAUCACAGGCACCGGAAAAUAUGCACAUUAUGCUGGAGCAUUAGAAUGCAACAGAAAGAGCCCUGGGCUUGGAGUAUGCAGAACUGGUUCUUGUUACAACUCCUCUUACUAGUGGGCUCUGGAAGAAAACACAUUGAAUUCAUGAUCAUGGUUAACCUUUGGAGAGAGAGAGGAGACCAGGAUGAAGGAGCCAGUCGAAGAUCCUGUUCAAGUGUACACUGAGCCAGCAGGUUCACCAGAAAGCUAUUGAGCGUUUGCUGGAACACAUUAUGCAGGGUGAAUUUCUUCUGGAAUGUUGCCAAGGAUUUUUUAUGCUUCUGUGGCAGGCAUUUCUUGAACAUUGUCAUUUAGCCAAGCAAAGAAGAUUUUCUUAAAGGAUAGAAAAUGUUUAAAAAUUUUUGUUUGUUUGAAGAUAGGUUAAAUGGCUAUAUGAUCUCAGGAUAAGACAGAGAAAAUCACUUAUUUCUCUAAGUGAUCUGAUUAGGUUAGUGAUGUUUUGCCUUUAAACAGAUUCAUCAUUAUUCCUAAAGUAUUGCUGUAUUAAUACUGUCUUCUAGAAAGUAUCCACCAGUGCCUACUUUUCUUCGAUAUCAUUAGCUGUUUUUCGAAACUGAAUUUGCUCUUCAGAGAUUUCUCAUAUGUUUGCGUAUAAGGAACUACUGGUAAUAGCCAAGAAAAUUUGGAGGUGCAGAGAACAUGCUGAAACAGAAUUUUUCACUUUCAAUUCUAGAACUAUGCCAUAAAAAAAAAGGAAAAUGUAAAAAUGUCUUUAUAUUAGAGCAGAUAUUUUAAAAGUAUUGCAAAUUCAAUGAUAAAUUCUAAGGUUAAAAUUGGACACAUAAAAAAUACAAUAUAUAAAUAUCUCCCCAGAAAUUAUUAUCUAAUGAAUAGUAAAAGCUGACUACAAACCAUGUCAUUUUAACAAGGGUUUAAAUAGUACCAAGAUUCUCAUCAUAUGCUCUGGGAUACCCAGUGAUGUACAAGGGUUCUCUCUAAACAUGGGGAGGAAAAAUUUCAAAUAUAAAGAUUUGAAUCUUGUCUUUGCCAUUCACUAGCUGUGUGAUCUUGGGUAAGUUACCUGGUUUCUCUGAGCUUCAGUGUCAUCUGUAAAACAGGAAUAAUAAUACCUAGCUCAGAGGCGGGUGUGGUGGCUCACGCCUGUAAUCCCAGCACUUUGGGAGGCCAAGGCAGGUGGAUCACUAGGUCAGGAGUUUGAGACCAGCCUGGCCAAGAUGGUGAAAUCCUGUCUCUACUUAAAAAAAAAAAAAAAUAGCCAGGCAUGGUGGCAGGCACCUGUGAUCCCAGCUACUCAGGAGGCUGAGGCAGGAGAAUCGCUUGAACCCGGGAGGCGGAGGUUGCAGUCAGCUGAGAUCUCGCCACUGCACUCCAGCCUGGGCAAUAGAGUGAGACUCCGCCUCAAAUAAAUAGGUAAAUAAAUAAAUAAAUAAAUAAAAGUAAAUAAAUAAAUAAAUAAAUAAUAAUACCUAGCUUAUGGGGCUGCUGUGGGUGUUUGUAAAGUAUCUCAAUGGUGCCUACAUAUUGUAAAGGCUUAUGAAUAUAUUAGUUCCUUUCUCAACUUCCUCAAUUCAUUCCACCACUACAAGUCAAUCUAGAGAUUAAAAUAGGCAAAACUGUGAUCUACGUUAGGAUGGGGUUGUUUGAGUGGUGGUUUAUUUCUGACUGCUUCAUUUUAUACUUGUAUUUUAAAUAUACAAGUUUUUGUAAACAUUCCUAAAACAAAACAGAUCUGUUUUUAUUUUGAAGAAGAUCGGACAGAUUCUGAUAUAAUGUUUGGAGAACUAAAUUAUACACAGAAUUUUGUCUCUGAAGAGUUAACUCUAUCAUGAAAAUGCACUCAGUGAAAAGCAAACAUCAUGCCACCUUUCCAUACACGGUAUUAUGUGUAUUUGAAUGAACGCAUAUGGAAAAACAUGGCAAUUCUUCUUUUAUGCCUAAAUCCUAUGGAAUUUGCCGGCUCCUGUAUUUAAGUCUGGGCUGUGAUGGUAAACUUGGUUCCUGUCAACUGAGUGUUGUUAUGUCUUUGGCACAUUCCCACAGCCGAACCUCCCGUCUGUAACCUGCACCUGCAGUUCACAGGAUUCAGCUCGGAGAGCUCUGUACUUCCGGGCCACUCAGUGGUUUGAGAUAUGUCUUCUUCGUGAUGCUUGUGUGAGAGUAAAGGAGGACUCCAAACAAACAAAUGCAGGAAAUGAAUGUGUAGAGGAAGAAGUCAGGUGAUGCUGGUGUCCUGGGGACCACUCCACGGAAGGAGAAGACACUGGGAAUAGAAGACCUUUGAAAAUCGUGAUGGGCUUAAAGAUCCCAGCGCAGGUCCCACCACUUAUUCGCUCUCACCUGGCAUCUCAAUCUCUGCAUCUGUAAAAAUGAAGAAAAUAAUCCAUCUCCCUGGAUGACUUCAUGAGAUUUUUUGUAGUCAUCAGUGAGGUACUGUACAUAGACGUGCUGUAAGGACGAAAAGUUCUUCACAAUAGGAUGCAUGGGAAAGCAAGCAGGGAGCAGUGGAGGAGGCUGAACCCAGAACGUGGGCUGAGGAUGCUGGGAGGGAACAGGGUUGGGGGCUGAAUCCUAACAGGAGGAAGCUACUGAGCUGCUUCUGUAAGUUGGGCCUGGAUGGAAACCCUGGAAGCAGUAACUCCAAGAAAGAUUCAAAAGUGGGACAAGAAGAGCAAGAACCAGGAAUGGAAAAACUCCAAGGAACAUGAGUGAAGAGCCUCGAAAAAACAGGACACUCACAGUUCAGGAAACUACCAAGGGUCCAAGGAGAGGCCUUGCUUGGCCGUGGUGUGGUCCUGCAACUCCAGGGCAGACCUAGACUCAUGGGAAAGUCCCUGCUUUGUGAUGAGGCUGAAAGAGGAUGAGUGGGGAGUGGCCGGAAGAAGAAAGGGUGUAACCAGAGACCAGUGUCAACAAGGAAUCUGGCUUGGAACGCUUUUGUCUGCAGCCCUCUUUGGAGCGUGACUUGCUCUUUCAGAGGUCUGUAUUUCUCUACCUGGACUACCCUGAGAGCUAACCCCAGUUAUUGGUCUGGAAGCAACGAAUGAAGGCCGGGGCAGAGCUUGAGGAGGGCAACAUCAUUUUGUCACAGUCGCCAUCAAGAAUCUAGUUGCAGACUGGGCGCUGUGGCUCACGCCUGUAAUCCCUGCACUUUGGGAGCCAAGGUGGGUGGAUCACUGGAGCCCAGGAGCUCAAGAGCAGCCUGGGCAACGUGGUGAAAGCCCAUUUCUACAAAAAAAUGCAAAAAUUAGCAGAGUGUGUUGGUGCAUGCCUGUGGUCUCAGCUACUCGGGAGGCUGAGAUGGGACGAUUGCUUGGGCCUGGGAGGUCAAGGCUGCAGUGAGCUGUGAUCACACCACUGCACUCCAGCCUGAGUGACACAGCAAGAACCUGUCUGAGAAAAAAAAAAUCUUGUUUCACCUAGAUCUGAAGAAGAAAACAGAAGCAACAUUCAAAUUAACAUCAGUCAACUGAUGGAAUAUUUUAGAUGAAGUAAGAGAAGCCAAGGCAUGUACCCUCAGGCUCUGGGCUUCUCCCUGCAAGGUUGGGAAGAAAUUUGGAGGAGGCAAAGUGGGAGCAAGUCAGAUGGAAGAGACAUUAUGGGUCAGGAAACCAGUUGCUAUGUCAUGAACUGCUCUAUGAAGAAGCCUGUUUGUCAAGGAUCUGAAGCCUCCUGCCAAUAGCUGCAUGAACGAGUUUGGAAGAUCCAGUUCUACCCUUCAGAUGACUGUAGCUUGACGUCAACCUCAUGAGAGACCCUGAGACAGAACCACAAAGCGAAGUCCCUCCUGGAUCCCUGAUGCUACACAACUAUGUAAUAAAUGUUUGCUGUUUUAACU
rnacentral:lncRNA from 1 species